rnacentral:tRNA from 1 species
CCCUGGUUAGCUCAGUUGGUAGAGCGUUCACUGUAAUAAAGAGGUCCUGGGUUCGAUACCCGGACCAGGCG